AGACAGAGCAUGAGCAAGGGAGGAGCAGAGAAAGAGGAAGACAGAGAAUCUAAAGCAGGUUCCAGGCUCUGAGCUGUCAGCACAGAGCCCAAUGUGGGGCUUGAACUCAUGAGAUCAUGACCAGAGCCGAAGUUGGACACCUAACUGAGCCACCCAGGUGCUGUGGAUGGUGAGAAAAACCCUGAGAUUCCACCUUUUAGUGGGCUUACAAUCUCUUUGAUCAGAGAAUGAGUCAGAUAAAAGGAUAUGGCCACAUUGCUUUCAUCCCAGAAUAACACUCAAGUGCCUGAGGAGAAGCCCAAAACACAGUUCAAAGUCUUUAUUUCUAGUCUCUGGUGCGAGUGCGACAGGAAGAAUGUGGGCCUGUUCUUACCUGCCUGGGAUUGAAGAGGAAGGGUGUGUGUGACCAUCCCCUCCCACCUUCAGUGACUUGGCCAUCUAAGCCUUGCAGUAUGUAUGGAGUCCCCAUUUGCCCUACACUUGUACCAAGAGAAUUUAGCUGGAUGACGGGAUCAGGAAUCCCCCUGAAUGUUGU